UAAAUUUCGAAAAUAAAUUUCAGUAAAAAAUAAAACUGGGAAUAAGACAGGGAGGAGGAAUUUUGUAACCAUAAAGCUGUAUAGCUCUGCAUUCAUCCUACAGACUUACUUCUAAGGGUGCAGUUUAAAAACUUGUCAUGGACUCCAAAUCCCAUUAAGCUGGUUGGUAAAAAUGCUAUCUUAAUUGUUAAAGUGUUCAUAUAAAUAGGAUAAAAUGUUAAAGGGAUCAUAUAAAUAAGAUCAAAUGUCUAGUACUAAUAAUAGAUAGAAUUAAAAGCUAAAUCUGAAUGUGUAUUGACUAAAUGGAUGCCCCUCCUAUUCAGUCCCUUGCAUUAAGCAGUACAAACAUCCUUGUUGAAUUGCCAAAAAAGCAGGGAGACUUAUCAUGGAAAGAAAACUGUAAAAUGCUGCUGCCUCCAUAAGGCUGUCUAUUGCCUCAUCAAGUCCUGGAAAAGAGAUAAUUAAGCUUGAAGCCUGAGGAACUCCUCCUAUUCCUUUGUCUCUUCAAAAAGAAGGGGGACUUUAGCCUCCAAAUGUUGCCUUCAGGCUUAGGUAUAGAGGAACUAUCCGAAGUGAUUAAAUUACUGCCACAAGAAGAGAAGACACAGUGCUCUGCUAAGUAUCUCAAAAUAUAAUUUUUGACUCAAAUACUAUUAUGCAAUAACAGUAAUUUACUGUUCUGUGAUAAUAAUAAUUUAAUGAAAUAUCCCAGGACAUAAAAUGUUAUAUUCAAAUUAUCAAAAAUACUGGCCUUGGGAAUCUACACAUAUUCAACAGAACAUAUACAUCAAGAAAGUACUAGGAACUAACAACAGAGAUGUUGUUAAAAGUGAUUUGGGAUAAGUAGUAAUUUCCGUACAAACACACACACAUACCCACAAAAGGCGAAAGGGUAGAGUCAAAAGAGCAAAAAUGUCCAUAAAUCAUUAAUGAUUUAUGAACACAAAUAUUAGAAAUUUUAUGAUGAAGGUGUUAUAUGUGGAAUAUGAUGUCUUUUGGCCAGGUUAGAGGAUGGAAGGAGAGUUUUGUUAAGCAAGUAUCCGGAUAUUACUGCAAGAAUUAAUAAGCAAUAAAAUACACUGCACAUUAAACUUAUGGUUAACA
rnacentral:lncRNA from 1 species